GCCGGGCGUGGUGGCUCACGCCUGUAAUCCCAGCACUUUGGGAGGCUGAGGCGGGUGGAUCACCUGAGGCCAGGAGUUCAAGACCACCCUGGCCAACAUGGCGAAACCCCGUCUCUA
ensembl:misc_RNA Metazoa_SRP Metazoan signal recognition particle RNA